UCCUCCUCUUUCUCUCUAAUUUUGAUUACAAAAUUUGAAACUCCAUUCUCUCUCACACCUCUACAUCUUCUUCUUUCCACCAAGCUUUCUCUCUCUAGAAGUUUAAGUAAUCUCUGGUGGUGAUUUCCUCCGACGGAAUACAACCCCGCUGAGAGGGGGUGAUUUGUACCAUCUGGCUCAAUGUUUUCCUCCUCUCUCUUUACACAGCUCCAAGCCCAUUAGUCUAUCUAUUUGAGCACCAUUAUGUUUUCUGCCAUACGAUGCAGCGACUUUGAUGGAGGCAAUGGAGCAGACUAAGGUUGUGGGUAUUCAGUGUUUGGGUAUUCAGUGUUUUGUUCAAUGAGAUCUCAAAUAGAUAUUUAAUUAUUUAGUUUUGUUGAAACACUGGAGAAAGUUGUUGUAAACUUUAAUUGGUUUUGUUGAUUAAUUAGUUAGUUUCGUUGCUAAAAUUGUGAUAGAUUUGAACUAUACUUUAGUUUUGUUUGGUUUGAUGCUAAACAUUAGUUUUGUUUUUUAUUUUUUGCAAUAUUUGUUGGUAACAGGGUGCUUGGCUUCCAUUGUAGGAUUAAUGUUGUUGUUUCAGCUCCUUCCUCUCAUCUUCCUUAUUGUUUUCACCUCCUCACCAUGGGUUUGAGACCACUUCAACUUUCUUCUCGAUGUAGUCGUCAUAGCCCAUUCUAAAGUCUCAACCAUCACAGUCUUCACCAUGGGUUUGUGGUGAUUACGAAAGAACAAUUGAGACUUGAUAUACGAAGUGCUGAUGGACGACUGAAGCACUUAAAGCGAUUUCGAGGCCACGAUUCAAUGGGUAUCCUCCAUCACAAUCUAUGAAUAACACCGAUCGACUCCAACAUUUGUAAAUUGAGAAUCAGAUUCUUAUUGAAGCAGCCACACCCUACAGUGCAUUUGGCUGGAUUAUAGAGAGCUUCCAACCAUUAAGCAGGCUCACAUUAGAGAGCAUGAGGAAGAAGUAAAACUUCUUUAGAACCUAUCACAUCCAAACACUGAGGUGUCCAGGCACCGGACCGAUGCUAGGAGCUUCAAGUUAAGCUCCUGUUUUGUCAAGCCAACCACCGUGCCUCACCUCGAGGUUCCGAGUCUGUUCAAGCUAAGGCUAUUUUGGGGUGUCUCAGUUUCACCCUUUUGUUUCUGAUCUGUAAUAAAUGUUUAAGACUUGACUGUACAGUUAUAGUUAAGGAUUUGGUCCCUGACAUAGAUGUUUGUAGAUAUGUCGCAUGUAUAUAUGUUUUGUUUAUCAACAUGACUUAUGCAUAAAGUCUUUUUGCAUUCAGACUGUCACAGCUUAUUGGACAUCUUUUAUUUACUGUUUUGGCUUCCACCAGCCACUUUACUCUGUAUCA